GGGGAUGUAGCUCAGUGGUAGAGCUCUUGCCUGGUAUGCAGGAAGCCCUGGACGCAAUCCCCAGCCUUGCCC
rnacentral:tRNA from 1 species